UACCGUAAUGGAUCAACGGCUUCCUAUCGAUGCUAUUACAAAAGAAACUAUAGGUUGGAGCUGUAAGGUUCAGGUCGUCGACAAGUUUCGACCUCGUGAAAGCAGAAAUCAGAGUGUGCAAUUUCAGACGAUGAUUGUGCAAGAUGAAAGUGAACAACAGGUUGCUACAGUGCUCUAUGAUGAUGAUAUUCCGAAGUACGAGAGGCUAUUUGUUCCUUUCAAAAUAUAUCUGAUUUUCUGCGCAAAAGUUAGAGACCCCCGCGGCUACUCCAUAUGCGUCGGUGUGUAUGAAUGGGUGGUCGACAGACACACAGUUGUUGAACCUAUAACCAAUAAUGGUGGGACGGAAGUGUCCCUACUUUCUCCAAUAAAGUUGAACACAGUUUCUUUUUCAGCUAUCGAGGGUCUACGCCCAAGUGUUGAAUUUGCAUGCUGCAAUAUACCACUGACCAAAGUAAGCACUUUCGGGAGGCAAUUAUCAUAGAUCAGAGAUGAGUUACUCAACCCUUCUCGCUUAUUAAAGCAUUCUUGCGUGAUAAAAAUUUAUAUGUUUCUUACAUCAACCAGCAAAAAACCUGCCCUAUUUACUAUAUAGGAUAAUUUGGCCAACAACGAAGGCGCUACACUACUACAUUACUUGCAUGAGCAUCCCGUUAUUCUUGCUAAACGUAUUGGAGUUACUGAAUUUCGCGGUGAUUAGCCACAAGGUAUCAAUCAACGAUCUUACUGAAUCCUAAGUACGUGCAGGCUGCUACAUUGAUGAAGUGGUGGAGGACAAUGAGCAAAUAUUGAUAUUGUAGACUUUACGAAGCUCAUCGGUAUCAACUUCUUCCCUUACUUUUGCACCUAUUGAAGAUGAGGUUUUCCCUAUAUCCACGAUUUCAGACUUGUCAUCCCAGGUGCAGACUUUCCCUGCUGAAACAAAAAUAUCACUUCCUGAUCGUCCCCAGUUCUUUUACUUGCUCGCUUGCUCACGUUAAAAUCACUUUCUACGCAUCAAGACAAAAAAGAUGGUCCAAUGCUUCAACUGUAAGCAAGAAUGAAUGUUGGUCCCCAGGUGCCACUUUGAGGUUAACAUUACGGACACCAGUGAUACAAUUACCGCAACAGUGUCGGAAAUGGUGGCAGAGACAAUGUUAUCCCUCACUAGCAAACAAAUAUAUCAAAAUGUUGUUGCCCAGCCUCUUUGUCUGAAUAGGUGACAAGUGCCCAAAGUUAGCUGCAACUAAGUUUGCCUACCUCCACCAACGUCAUACAAGCAGCCGCAUCAACAUGCUUUUCUAUUUUGGUAUAACUAAUGUUAUAGUCACAAUUUGCAUGUUAAUAGUUUUUGUAUAAAUAGCUUGCACAGGAAAAUAGUAUCAGCUAUCACUUUGGUGUAACUAAGGCUAUAGUCACAACAUAAUGUGACAGACCUACAUGUCAAUAGUUUUUGUAUAAAUAGCUUGCACAGAAA